rnacentral:rRNA from 1 species
CCCUUAGAUGUCCUGGGCCGCACGCGCGCUACACUGAUGCAUUCAACGAGUUACCUUGGCCGAGAGGCCUGGGAAAUCUUCGAAUGUGCAUCGUGAUAGGGAUAGAUUCUUGCAAUUUUUAAUCUUGAACGAGGAAUUCCUAGUAAACGCAGAUCAUCAAUCUGCAUUGAUUACGUCCCUGCCCUUUGUACACACCGCCCGUCGCACCUACCGAUUGAAUGGUCCGGUGAGGCCUCGGGAUUGUUUCGAGUUUCCUUCAUUGGAUCUUGUCGCGAGAACUUGUCCAAACCUUAUCAUUUAGAGGAAGGUGAAGUCGUANCA